GCUUAGCCCUUAAACUAAAAGUAGCUCACCCACAACAAAGCUAUUCGCCAGUAGGUACUACUACGCAACAGACCUAAAACUCAAAGGACUUGGCGGUGCUUUACAUCCCUC
rnacentral:rRNA from 1 species